rnacentral:rRNA from 1 species
GAUGGGUAGGGGAGCGUCGUGUGCCGGGUGAAGCAGCCGCGGAAGCGAGUUGUGGACGGUUCACGAGUGAGAAUGCAGGCAUGAGUAGCGAUACAAACGUGAGAAACGUUUGCGCCGAUUGACUAAGGGUUCCUGGGUCAAGCUGAUCUGCCCAGGGUAAGUCGGGACCUAAGGCGAGGCCGACAGGCGUAGUCGAUGGAUAACCGGUUGAUAUUCCGGUACCCGCUGUGAAGCGUCAAACAUCGAACCAGGCGAUGCUAAGUCCGUGAAGCCGCCCUUGAUCUCUUCGGAGUGAUGGGGAGUGGUGGAGCCGAUGAUCCAGACCUGUAGUAGGUGAGUGAUGGGGUGACGCAGGAAGGUAGUCCAUCCCGGGCGGUGGUUGUCCCGGGGUAAGGGUGUAGG